GUGGUGUAUGAAAGGAGAAGUUAGCACUCCCUUUGACAAGGAAGGAACCAGGAAACUAUAUGAAUGUUUGCUACCUUUGUUUUU
rnacentral:ncRNA from 1 species